rnacentral:rRNA from 1 species
UACGUAGGGUGCAAGCGUUGUCCGGAAUUAUUGGGCGUAAAGAGCUCGUAGGCGGUUUGUCGCGUCGGCUGUGAAAGCCCGGAGCUCAACUCCGGGUCUGCAGUCGAUACGGGCAGACUUGAGUGUUGCAGGGGGAGACUGGAAUUCCUGGUGUAGCGGUGAAAAUGCGCAGAUAUCAGGAGGAACACCGGUGGCGAAGGCGGGUCUCUGGGCCGAUACUGACACUGAGGAGCGAAAGCGUGGGGAGCGAACAGG